rnacentral:rRNA from 1 species
CGAGUCGGGCUCGCGGCCAACCUCCCACCCUUGUCUCUAUACACCUGUUGCUUUGGCGGGCCCACCGGGGCCACCUGGUCGCCGGGGGACGCACGUCUCCGGGCCCGCGCCCGCCGAAGCGCUCUGUGAACCCUGAUGAAGAUGGGCUGUCUGAGUACUGUGAAAAUUGUCAAAACUUUCAACAAUGGAUCUCUUGGUUCCGGCAUCGAUGAAGAACGCAGCGAAAUGCGAUAAGUAAUGUGAAUUGCAGAAUUCCGUGAAUCAUCGAAUCUUUGAACGCACAUUGCGCCCCCUGGCAUUCCGGGGGGCAUGCCUGUCCGAGCGUCAUUUCUGCCCUCAAGCACGGCUUGUGUGUUGGGUGUGGUCCCCCCGGGGACCUGCCCGAAAGGCAGCGGCGACGUCCGUCUGGUCCUCGAGCGUAUGGGGCUCUGUCACUCGCUCGGGAAGGACCUGCGGGGGUUGGUCACCACCAUGUUUUACCACGGUUGACCUCGGAUCAGGUAGGAGUUACCCGCUGAACUUAAGCAUAUCAAUAAGGCGGAGGAAUCAUUACCGAGUGCGGGCCCUCGCGGCCCAACCUCCACCCUUGUCUCUAUACACUGUGCUUUGGCGGGCC